AUUGAACGCUGGCGGCAGGCUUAACACAUGCAAGUCGAGCGGAGAGAGGUAGCUUGCUACUGAUCUUAGCGGCGGACGGGUGAGUAAUGCUUAGGAAUCUGCCUAUUAGUGGGGGACAACAUUUCGAAAGGAAUGCUAAUACCGCAUACGUCCUACGGGAGAAAGCAGGGGAUCUUCGGACCUUGCGCUAAUAGAUGAGCCUAAGUCGGAUUAGCUAGUUGGUGGGGUAAAGGCCUACCAAGGCGACGAUCUGUAGCGGGUCUGAGAGGAUGGGCCGCCACACUGGGACUGAGACACGGCCCAGACUCCUACGGGAGGCAGCAGUGGGGAAUAUUGGAAAAUGGGCGGAAGCCUGAUCCAGUCAUGCCGCGUGUGUGAAGAAGGCCUUAUGGUUGUAAAGCACUUUAAGCGAGGAGGAGGCUACUUUAGUUAAUACCUAGAGAUAGUGGACGUUACUCGCAGAAUAAGCACCGGCUAACUCUGUGCCAGCCGCCGCAGUAAAAC
rnacentral:rRNA from 1 species